AGGGUUUGAUCCUGGCUCAGAACGUACGCUGGCGGCACGCCUAACACAUGCAAGUCGAACGAAGUAGCAAUACUUAGUGGCAGACGGGUGAGUAACAUGUAGGUAUCUGCCCUUUGGCCUGGAAUAACACGAGGAAACUUGUGCUAAUACCGGAUAAGUCUUCACGGAGAAAGCUUUAUGCACCAUUGGAUGAGCCUGCACUUGAUUAGUUUGUUGGUGGGGUAAUGGCCUACCAAGACUGUGAUCAAUAGCUGAUUUGAGAGGAUGAUCAGCCACAUUGGGACUGAGACACGGCCCAAACUCCUACGGGAGGCAGCAGUGGGGAAUCUUGCACAAUGGAGGAAACUCUGAUGCAGCGAUGCCGCGUGAGUGAAGAAGGCCCUUGGGUUGUAAAGCUCUUUCGUCGGGGAAGAAAAUGACUGUACCCGAAUAAGAAGGUCCGGCUAACUUCGUGCCAGCAGCCGCGGUAAUACGAAGGGACCUAGCGUAGUUCGGAAUUACUGGGCUUAAAGAGUUCGUAGGUGGUUGAAAAAGUUGGUGGUGAAAUCCCAGAGCUUAACUCUGGAACUGCCAUCAAAACUUUUCAGCUAGAGUAUGAUAGAGGAAAGCAGAAUUUCUAGUGUAGAGGUGAAAUUCGUAGAUAUUAGAAAGAAUACCAAUUGCGAAGGCAGCUUUCUGGAUCAUUACUGACACUGAGGAACGAAAGCAUGGGUAGCGAAGAGGAUUAGAUACCCUCGUAGUCCAUGCCGUAAACGAUGUGUGUUAGACGUUGGAAAUUUAUUUUCAGUGUCGCAGCGAAAGCGAUAAACACACCGCCUGG
rnacentral:rRNA from 1 species